rnacentral:rRNA from 1 species
GACGGGGCCGCACAAGCGGUGAGCAUGUGGUUUAAUUCGAAGCAACGCGAAGAACCUUACCAGGGCUUGACAUCCCUUGAAGCAGCUAGAGAUUAGCUGUGUCCUUCGGGACAAGGAGACAGGUGGUGCAUGGUUGUCGUCAGCUCGUGUCGUGAGAUGUUGGGUUAAGUCCCGCAACGAGCGCAACCCCUAUUGUUAGUUGCCAUCAUUCAGUUGGGCACUCUAGCGAGACUGCCGGUAAUAAACCGGAGGAAGGUGGGGAUGACGUCAAAUCAUCAUGCCCCUUAUGACCUGGGCUACACACGUGCUACAAUGGUUGGUACAACGAGUUGCGAGUCGGUGACGGCGAGCUAAUCUCUUAAAGCCAAUCUCAGUUCGGAUUGUAGGCUGCAACUCGCCUACAUGAAGUCGGAAUCGCUAGUAAUCGCGGAUCAGCACGCCGCGGUGAAUACGUUCCCGGGCCUU